rnacentral:rRNA from 1 species
CCUACGGGAGGCAGCAGUGGGGAAUAUUGGGCAAUGGGCGCAAGCCUGACCCAGCAACGCCGCGUGAAGGAAGAAGGCUCUCGGGUUGUAAACUUCUUUUAUCCGGGACGAAACAAAUGACGGUACCGAACGAAUAAGCCACGGCUAACUACGUGCCAGCAGCCGCGGUAAUACGUAGGUGGCAAGCGUUAUCCGGAUUUACUGGGUGUAAAGGGCGUGUAGGCGGGGGUGCAAGUCAGACGUGAAAUUCCAGGGCUGAACCCUGGAACUGCGUUUGAAACUGUUCUUCUGGAGUGAAGGAGAGGCAGGCGGAAUUCCGUGUGUAGCGGUGAAAUGCGUAGAUAUAAGGAGGAACACCAGUGGCGAAGGCGGCCUGCUGGACAUUAACUGACGCUGAGGCGCGAAAGCGUGGGGAGCAAACAGGAUUAGAUACCCCUGUAGUC